CCAUCGGGGGGAACCCCAACACUCCCUUAUUUUACUGGCUACCUCUCUGAAGAGUUGUCAGGGAGUUAGCACCCUAACCCAUCGGGGGGAACCCCAACACUCCCUUAUUUUACUGGCUACCUCUCUGAAGAGUUGCCAGGUCAGGGAGUUAGCACCCUAACCCAUCGGGGGGAACCCCAACACUCCCUUAUUUUACUGGCUACCUCUCUGAAGAGUUGCCAGGUCAGGGAGUUAGCACCCUAACCCAUCGGGGGGAACCCCAACACUCCCUUAUUUUACUGGCUACCUCUCUGAAGAGUUGCCAGGUCAGGGAGUUAGCACCCUAACCCAUCUGGGGGAACCCCAACACUCCAGUAGACUCAAUCUGGUGAAGUUUCUAUCGAAACAAAGACAGUAAUGAAAUCAGCAAUACACACAUCACA
ensembl:lncRNA